rnacentral:misc_RNA from 1 species
UCUUCUCUCUCCUCCCCCGAUAUAUUUAUUAGGGAGGGGGGUGUUCCCCGGUGGGGGGGGAGCCCUUAUGGGGGGUAUAGGGGGGCGAGACACCGCCGGAAUAAAUCAAAAGAAGGUCCCGUCUCUUCCCGGGUUUACCGCCUCUCAUGUGCACCGAACGACCCCGCCAGAUGAACUUGGGCCCCGGCGGGAGGCCCCGGGCGCCAAACACCCAAGCCGAGGCUGAGAGUGAAAUGACGCUCGAACAGCAUGCCCGCGAAUACCGCGGCGCAAUGUGCUUCAAAGAUUGAUGAUUCACGAAUUCUGCAAUUCACAUUACUUAUCGCAUUUCGCUGCGUUCUUCAUCGAUGCCAGAACCAAGAGAUCCGUUGUCGAAAGUUUUGACUUAUUUGUCUUUCAGGCUCAGAGAUACUGGAAAAAAUAAGAGUUUUGAACCUCCGGCGGGCGUGCCCGCCGAAGCAACGACAGAGGUUAUGUUCACAGGGUUGGAGUUUUUCAACUCAGUAACGAUCCCGGUGCCUGCGGAGGGAUCAUUACUGAGUUGAAAAACUCCAACCCCUGUGAACAUAACCUCUGUCGUUGCUUCGGCGGGCACGCCCGCCGGAGGUUCAAAACUCUUAUUUUUUCCAGUAUCUCUGAGCCUGAAAGACAAAUAAUCAAAACUUUCAACAACGGAUCUCUUGGUUCUGGCAUCGAUGAAGAACGCAGCGAAAUGCGAUAAGUAAUGUGAAUUGCAGAAUUCAGUGAAUCAUCGAAUCUUUGAACGCACAUUGCGCCCGCCGGUAUUCCGGCGGGCAUGCCUGUUCGAGCGUCAUUUCAACCCUCAAGCCUCGGCUUGGUGUUGGGGCGCCCGGGCCCUCCGCGGCCCGGGGCCCCCAAGUUCAUCGGCGGGCUCGUCGGUACACUGAGCGCAGUAAAACGCGGUAAAACGCGAACCUCGUUCGGAUCGUCCCGGCGUGCUCCAGCCGCUAAACCCCCAAUUUUAGAGGUUGACCUGGUCCAGGAGAAUGCGACGCGUU